CAGCAGUCGCCGCGGGAAUACAGAGGGUGCGAGCGUUAAUCGGAUUUACUGGGCGUAAAGCGUGCGUAGGCGGCUUUUUAAGUCGGAUGUGAAAUCCCUGAGCUUAACUUAGGAAUUGCAUUCGAUACUGGGAAGCUAGAGUAUGGGAGAGGAUGGUAGAAUUCCAGGUGUAGCGGUGAAAUGCGUAGAGAUCUGGAGGAAUACCGAUGGCGAAGGCAGCCAUCUGGCCUAAUACUGACGCUGAGGUACGAAAGCAUGGGGAGCAAACAGGAUUAGAUACCCGCGUAGUCCCUGUCUCUUAUAC
rnacentral:rRNA from 1 species